rnacentral:rRNA from 1 species
GACGAUCCGUAGCGGGUCUGAGAGGAUGAUCCGCCACACUGGGACUGAGACACGGCCCAGACUCCUACGGGAGGCAGCAGUGGGGAAUUUUGGACAAUGGGCGCAAGCCUGAUCCAGCCAUGCCGCGUGAGUGAAGAAGGCCUUCGGGUUGUAAAGCUCUUUCGGCCGGGAAGAAAUCGGCGACUCUAACAUAGUCGCUGGAUGACGGUACCGGACUAAGAAGCACCGGCUAACUACGUGCCAGCAGCCGCGGUAAUACGUAGGGUGCGAGCGUUAAUCGGAAUUACUGGGCGUAAAGCGUGCGCAGGCGGUUUUGUAAGACAGAUGUGAAAUCCCCGGGCUUAACCUGGGAACUGCGUUUGUGACUGCAAGGCUAGAGUACGGCAGAGGGGGGUGGAAUUCCUGGUGUAGCAGUGAAAUGCGUAGAGAUCAGGAGGAACACCGAUGGCGAAGGCAGCCCCCUGGGCCUGUACUGACGCUCAUGCACGAAAGCGUGGGGAGCAAACAGGAUUAGAUACCCCUGGUAGUCCACGCCCCUAAACGAUGUCGACUAGUCGUUCGGAGCAGCAA